rnacentral:rRNA from 1 species
UAGGGAAUAUUGGACAAUGGGGGCAACCCUGAUCCAGCCAUGCCGCGUGAGUGAAGAAGGCCCUCGGGUUGUAAAGCUCUUUUGUCCGGAAAGAAAAGCAUUCGGUGAAUACCCGGAUGUUCUGACGGUACCGGAAGAAUAAGCACCGGCUAACUUCGUGCCAGCAGCCGCGGUAAUACGAAGGGUGCAAGUGUUACUCGGAAUUACUGGGCGUAAAGCGUGCGUAGGUGGUUGUUUAAGUCUGAUGUGAAAGCCCUGGGCUCAACCUGGGAAUGGCAUUGGAAACUGGGCAGCUAGAGUGCGGUAGAGGGUAGUGGAAUUCCCGGUGUAGCAGUGAAAUGCGUAGAGAUCGGGAGGAACAUCUGUGGCGAAGGCGACUGCCUGGACCAGCACUGACACUGAGGCACGAAAGCGUGGGGAGCAAACA